ACUCCCUACGGGGCGCAGCAGUGGGGAAUAUUGGGCAAUGGGCGCAAGCCUGACCCAGCAACGCCGCGUGAAGGAAGAAGGCUUUCGGGUUGUAAACUUCUUUUAUCAGGGACGAAGCAAGUGACGGUACCUGAUGAAUAAGCCACGGCUAACUACGUGCCAGCAGCCGCGGUAAUACGUAGGUGGCAAGCGUUAUCCGGAUUUACUGGGUGUAAAGGGCGUGUAGGCGGGAGUGCAAGUCAGAUGUGAAAACUAUGGGCUCAACCCAUAGCCUGCCUUUGAAACU
rnacentral:rRNA from 1 species